AACGAACGCUGGCGGCAUGCCUAACACAUGCAAGUCGAACGGCAGCGCGGGGGCAACCCUGGCGGCGAGUGGCGGACGGGUGAGGAAUACAUAGGAAUCUACCCUGUCGUGGGGGAUAACGUAGGGAAACUUACGCUAAUACCGCAUACGACCGAGAGGUGAAAGCGGCGGACCGCAAGGCGUCGCGCGACUGGAUGAGCCUAUGUCCGAUUAGCUAGUUGGCGGGGUAAGAGCCCACCAAGGCGACGAUCGGUAGCUGGUCUGAGAGGAUGAUCAGCCACACUGGAACUGAGACACGGUCCAGACUCCUACGGGAGGCAGCAGUGGGGAAUAUUGGACAAUGGGCGCAAGCCUGAUCCAGCAAUGCCGCGUGGGUGAAGAAGGCCUUCGGGUUGUAAAGCCCUUUUGUACGGGAAGAAAUCCUGUCGGUUAAUACCCGGCGGGGAUGACGGUACCGUAAGAAUAAGCACCGGCUAACUUCGUGCCAGCAGCCGCUGUAACAC
rnacentral:rRNA from 1 species